AGCUCCAAUAGCCUAUAUUAAAUUGCUGCGGUUAAAACGCUCGUAGUUGGAUAUCUUCCAAGAGGUUCGGUUCCAUCCUAGUGAUGAAUGCGCGGAAUUCUUUUUUGGCACUCGUUGUGGGAAGGCGGUUGCACUUUAUUGUGCGUCUUUUGAUCUGGAUUUUGCUUUGAGGAAAUGAGAGUGUUUCAAGCAGGCUUUUGCCAAAAAUAUGAUAGCAUGGAAUAAUAGCACAGGACCCCUUUUCAAAGCUGUUGGUUCUUGGAACGAGGUAAUUAGAAUAAGGGUAGUUGGGGGUGUUCGCAUUUAACUAUCGGAGGUAAAAUUCUUGGAUCUUUUAAAGACGAACUAGUGCGAAGGCAUCUGUCAACAGUGUUUUUG
rnacentral:rRNA from 1 species